rnacentral:rRNA from 1 species
AGCUUUAGGAAUAGAUCUAAAGUUAUACCUGCCCAAUGUGUUUUUAUAAAUGGCCGCGGUACUUUGACCGUGCUAAGGUAGCGCAAUCAAUUGGCUCUUAAUUGGAGUCAGGUAUGAAUGGAGUUACGGGGUUCGGCUGUCUCCUAAUUAAUUAGUUGAAGUUACUAUAUAAGUGAAAAAGCUUAUAUAUAGAAAAAGGACGAGAAGACCCUUAGAGUUUGACCUAAUAUAAAAAACUGAAAUGAGUUACUUAUAAUGGUUUAGUUGGGGCAACAUAGGAGCAGCUAAAAAUUAAUUAAUCUCCUAAAUUUUAUUAACCGAUUAUUUUAAAUGUGAAUAAACUACCUUAGGGAUAACAGCAUAAUUUUAAAAAUAAGUUUGUGACCUCGAUGUUGGACUAGGAAACUUAAAGGCUAGCCGUCUUUAAGGAAAGUUCUGUUCGAACUAUUAUUCCU